UUUAUCCUUAGUUAAAAUAAUGUCUGUAAAGUUUCUUUUCUACUUGGAUGGUUUUAUCCUGUUGUAUCCAAUACCAUGUUGUGGGGCAGUAAUAUGUGUGAGCACUCUGUUCUCUGGGCUGUGAGGUGUGUGAGCACUCUGUUCUCUGGGCUGUGAGGUGUGUGAGCACUGUGUUCUCUGGGCUGUGAGGUGUGUGAGCACUCUGUUCUCUGGGCUGUGAGGUGUGUGAGCACUCUGUUCUCUGGGCUGUGAGGUGUGUGAGCACUCUGUUCUCUGGGCUGUGAGGUGUGUGAGCACUCUGUUCUCUGGGCUGUGAGGUGUGUGAGCACUCUGUUCUCUGGGCUGUGAGGUGUGUGAGCACUCUGUUCUCUGGGCUGUGAGGUGUGUGAGCACUCUGUUCUCUGGGCUGUGAGGUGUGUGAGCACUCUGUUCUCUGGGCUGUGAGGUGUGUGAGCACUCUGUUCUCUGGGCUGUGAGGUGUGUGAGCACUCUGUUCUCUGGGCUGUGAGGUGUGUGAGCACUCUGUUCUCUGGGCUGUGAGGUGUGUGAGCACUCUGUUCUCUGGGCUGCCCUUUACUCAU